rnacentral:rRNA from 1 species
GAAACUGAUCUCUCCGUGAAGAAGCGGGGAUACAAAUAUAAGACGAGAAGACCCCAUGGAGCUUUAAACCCAACGACACCCAUUUUCUUUAUACCCUAGUAUUCAUUUGGCUAUGUUUGAUUGGUUUUAGGUUGGGGUGACCACGGAGCAUAAAAUAACCUCCACGAAGAAGAGACUAAUAAUCUUUAUCAAAGAAGUACACUUCUAAGAAUUAACAAAUUAAUUUCCAAUGAUCCGAUAUUCGAUCAACGAACCAAGUUACCCUGGGGAUAACAGCGCAAUCCACCUCAAGAGCUCCUAUCGACAGGUGGGUUUACGACCUCGAUGUUGGAUCAGGAUAUCCCAGUGGUGUAGCAGCUACUAAAGGUUCGUUUGUUCAACGAUUAAAAUCCU